AGAACGAACGCUGGCGGCAGGCUUAACACAUGCAAGUCGAACGCGUGUAGCAAUACACGAGUGGCGCACGGGUGAGUAACGCGUGGAUAUCUGCCUUUCGGUUCGGAAUAACCCCGGGAAACUGGGGCUAAUACCGGAUGGUUCCUACGGGAUAAAGAUUUAUCGCCAAAAGAUGAGUCCGCGUCCGAUUAGCUAGUUGGUGGGGUAAUGGCCUACCAAGGCGACGAUCGGUAGCUGGUCUGAGAGGACGAUCAGCCACACUGGGACUGAGACACGGCCCAGACUCCUACGGGAGGCAGCAGUGGGGAAUAUUGGACAAUGGGGGCAACCCUGAUCCAGCCAUGCCGCGUGAGUGAUGAAGGCCUUCGGGUUGUAAAGCUCUUUUGGCGGGGACGAUGAUGACGGUACCCGCAGAAUAAGCCCCGGCUAACUUCGCGCCAGCAGCCGC
rnacentral:rRNA from 1 species